rnacentral:antisense_RNA from 1 species
GCUUAUGGUGGCCGUGCGCAGGGCGCCUUUGGGCGCGCCGGUUUUCCUAGUGCGCCGGUCUGCUAACCUGCGCACGGCUGCCACCCUU